rnacentral:rRNA from 1 species
AGAGUUUGAUCCUGGCUUAGGAUGAACGCUAGCGGCAGGCUUAACACAUGCAAGUCGAGGGGCAGCGGGAUGUAGCAAUACAUUGCCGGCGACCGGCGGAUGGGUGCGUAACGCGUAUGCAACCUACCUUAUACAGGGGAAUAACCUUUCGAAAGGGAGACUAACACCCCAUAGUAUUGAUUUAAGGCAUCUUAGAUUAAUUAAAUAUUUAUAGGUAUAAGAUGGGCAUGCGUAUGAUUAGCUAGUUGGUAAGGUAACGGCUUACCAAGGCGACGAUCAUUAGGGGUUCUGAGAGGAAGGUCCCCCACACUGGUACUGAGACACGGACCAGACUCCUACGGGAGGCAGCAGUGAGGAAUAUUGGUCAAUGGGCGCAAGCCUGAACCAGCCAUGCCGCGUGCAAGGAAGACGGCCUUAUGGGUUGUAAACUGCUUUUACAUAAGACUAACCGUAUAUUUGCGAAUAUACCUGAAUGUAUUAUGAGAAUAAGGAUCGGCUAACUCCGUGCCAGCCGCCGC